GACAGAGGGUGCAAACGUUAUUCGGAUUCACUGGGCGUAAAGGGUGCGCAGGCGGCCGAGUGUGUGAGGCGUGAAAGCCCGGGGCUUAACCCCGGAAUUGCACCUCAAACUACACGGCUAGAGCAUUGGAGAGGGUAGCAGAAUUCAUGGUGUAGCAGUGAAAUGCGUAGAUAUCAUGAGGAAUACCAGAGGCGAAGGCGGCUACCUGGACAAUUGCUGACGCUCAGGCACGAAAGCGUGGGGAGCAAAAGGG
rnacentral:rRNA from 1 species